GUGGGGAAUAUUGGGCAAUGGGCGAAAGCCUGACCCAGCAACGCCGCGUGAAGGAAGAAGGCCCUCGGGUUGUAAACUUCUUUGACCAGGGACGAAUAAUGACGGUACCUGGAAAACAAGCCACGGCUAACUACGUGCCAGCAGCCGCGGUAAUACGUAGGUGGCAAGCGUUGUCCGGAUUUACUGGGUGUAAAGGGCGUGCAGGCGGGAAUGCAAGUCAGGCGUGAAAACUAUGGGCUCAACCCAUAGCCUGCGUUUGAAACUGCAUUUCUUGAGUGAUGGAGAGGCAGGCGGAAUUCCUCGUGUAGCGGUGAAAUGCAUAGAUAUGAGGAGGAACACCAGUGGCGAAGGCGGCCUGCUGGACAUUAACUGACGCUGAGGCGCGAAAGCGUGGGGAGCAAACAGGAUUAGAAACCCGGGUAGUCC
rnacentral:rRNA from 1 species